AUAAUACUCCAUAGAUUAGAGACACUGGAAUGUUCUUUAGUCGAAAGUUCUGGCGCCUUAGGAUGGAUCUGCGGUCGAUUAGGUUGUUGUUGGGGUAACGGCCCAACAAGCCUGUAAUCGAUACGGGUUGUGGGAGCAAGAGCCCGGAGAUGGAAUCUGAGACACGAUUCCAGGCCCUACGGGGCGCAGCAGGCGCGAAAACUUUACAAUGCAGGAAACUGUGAUAAGGGAACUCCGAGUGCCCGUAUACGCGGGCUGUCCAGGUGUUUAAAAAUCAUCUGAAGAAAGGGCCGGGCAAGACCGGUGCCAGCCGCCGCGGUAAUACCGGCGGCUCGAGUGGUGGCCACUAUUAUUGGGCUUAAAGCGUCCGUAGCUGGACCGAUAAGUCUCUUGGGAAAUCCGCCGGCUCAACCGGCGGGCGUCCAAGGGAUACUGUUAGUCUAGGGACCGGGAGAGGUGAGAGGUACUCCGGGGGUAGGAGUGAAAUCCUGUAAUCCCCGGGGGACCACCGAUGGCGAAGGCAUCUCACCAGAACGGCUCCGACAGUGAGGGACGAAAGCUGGGGGAGCGAACCGGAUUAGAUACCCGGGUAGUCCCAGCCGUAAACUAUGCGCGUUAGGUGU
rnacentral:rRNA from 1 species